AAACAUCCUAUUCAAUUAGAACUCUAGCGACCGAGGGUCGAUUAACAGCAGCAGUAGCAUGGUCUACCUGCAGAGGCUUACCAAUAGCAUUAGCAAUAAAAAAUAAGGCAUCUUUGCAAUGAAUAAAAUACACUGGUGAAUACGGCAAAGAAACUCAGAUAGGAACAAUAGAAGAUUUCUUAGAGGUCCAAAUUAAAGUCUAUGAGACUACACUACAUAAGGCUCAAACCCAAAACCUAAGUCUUGGUAUGGCUGCCCACCUAAAUCCACUUGGAUAAUGUUCAGAUGUAUUUUAGAUAAUGUGUUUUAGUCUGUGAGGGUUGACACAAUAGAGUUUAGAUUUGAGAUGUUUAUGGUUGCGAAGCUUUGUAAGUGAUCUUGAUCCAUUGUAAA
rnacentral:lncRNA from 1 species